GACGAACGCUGGCGGCGUGGAUUAGGCAUGCAAGUCGAACGGUAUCAUCCUUUCGGGGGUGAGAGAGUGGCGAACUGGUGAGUAACACGUAGGUUAUCUACCCUCAAGACGGGGACAACCCAGGGAAACUUGGGCUAAUACCGGAUGUGAGCAACUUUUAGUUGUUUGAAAGGUGGCGUAAGCUGCCGCUUGGGGAUGAGCCUGCGUCCUAUUAGUUAGUUGGUGAGGUAACGGCUCACCUAGGCAAUGAUAGGUAGGCGGCCUUAACGGGUGGUCGCCCACACUGGGAUUGAGAUACGGCCCAGACUCCUACGGGAGGCAGCAGUCGAGAAUAGUCUACAAUGGUCGGAAGACUGAUAGUGCGACGCCGCGUGAACGAUGAAUCCCUUCGGGGUGUAAAGUUCUUUUAUAUGUGAGCAGUGCUUCUUAUAUUAACAGUAUGGGGAGAGAGAUAUUAGCAUAUGAAUAAGCAACGGCUAACUCCGUGCCAGCAGCCGCGGU
rnacentral:rRNA from 1 species